rnacentral:rRNA from 1 species
GAUGAACGCUAGCGGCGGGCUUAAUACAUGCAAGUCGAGGGGUGGUAGCAAUACUACACCGGCGCACGGGUGCGUAACGCGUAUGCAAUCUACCUUUAUCUGGGGGAUAGCCCGGGGAAACCCGGAUUAAUACCGCAUAACAAAUUUCUUGGCAUCAAGUGAUUUUAAAAGAUUUAUCGGAUAGAGAUGAGAAUGCGUAAGAUUAGAUAGUUGGCGAGGUAACGGCUCACCAAGUCUACGAUCUUUAGGGGCUCUGAGAGGAGAAUCCCCCACACUGGCACUGAGAUACGGGCCAGACUCCUACGGGAGGCAGCAGUAGGUAAUAUUGGGCAAUGGGCGCAAGCCUGACCCAGCCACGCCGCGUGCAGGAAGAAGGCCCUCUGGGUUGUAAACUGCUUUUGACCGGGAAGAAAAGAACCUUUGCGAAGGGAGUUGACGGUACCGGCAGAAUAAGCCACGGCUAACUACGUGCCAGCCGCCGCGGUAAUAC